GACGAACGCUGGCGGCGUGCUUAACACAUGCAAGUCGAACGGGGUUAAGGAGCUUGCUCCUUAACUUAGUGGCGAACGGGUGAGUAACGCGUGAGGAACCUGCCUUUCAGAGGGGGACAACAGUUGGAAACGACUGCUAAUACCGCAUGAUACUUGCGAAUGGCAUCAUUUGCAAGUCAAAGAUUUAUCGCUGAAAGAUGGCCUCGCGUCUGAUUAGCUAGUUGGUGGGGUAACGGCCCACCAAGGCGACGAUCAGUAGCCGGACUGAGAGGUUGACCGGCCACAUUGGGACUGAGAUACGGCCCAG
rnacentral:rRNA from 1 species